rnacentral:rRNA from 1 species
GUCAGCUGCUGUGCCACCUGCAGCUCAGCCCAGGUAACCCACCGGAAGCCAAGCAGGACCUGGCUAGUACUUGGGUGGGAGACCAGCUAGGAAAGCUGGGUUGCUGCUGGAG